UUGAAAUACUACUUAAAAAUGGCUUUAUUCAACAGGCUUUUUGAGACACACUUUCUUCAUAAUUUUAAAAUAAGCCGUAUCUACCUCUCACCUUGAAACAACCUCUACACACAAUUUUAGUCAACAUUUUUUUCGACAAUACAAUAAAAAGAUAAAUGCAUUUCAUUUAGGUAACUUGGGUUUUAUCACAACAAGGCUAUAAAUCUAGGUAUUAAAAUCUACACGUUUUUUUAAACAAACAAAUCACUAAAAUAAUACAUUAUCUAAUGUGUCGACAGCGAAGCGACACAAUUGUUAAUAAAAUAAUGUGUAAAUAAAAUUAAUAUUAUUUGUUUUCACGUUUUGCGAUUUUAUAAUUUGGAAAUUUGGAAAUUUUUGCAGAAUAAAAGCGAGAGACAUCGCUUGAAAUUAAUUAUAGUUAAUUGUUCUUCUCUUUAGAAAGUUUCUACUGUAAAUUUCAAAAAAUGUACGCAUUCAAGUUGAUGUUGAUCGUUCUAUUCGCAAUGGUUGCCUUUUCAAAUGCAGCAUUGGAUCAAUGUAAAUGUUAUAAAGAUGGUAUACAAGUCAACCUUAGUGUUUUAGGAUCAGACGAAAAAUGCAAGGACGCAAGCGGAAGCUUAGUCGAUUUAACUGCGUGCUUAGGUUAAAUUGGGUACGUACUCUCCAAGAAGUUCUUACUUAUUUUUGAAUAAAGUAAUGCGAACCAUA